GAUGAACGCUGGCGGCGUGCUUAACACAUGCAAGUCGAACGGGAAAUAUUUCAUUGAGACUUCGGUGGAUUUGAUUUAUUUCUAGUGGCGGACGGGUGAGUAACGCGUGGGUAACCUGCCUUAUACAGGGGGAUAACAGUCAGAAAUGGCUGCUAAUACCGCAUAAGCGCACAGAGCUGCAUGGCUCAGUGUGAAAAACUCCGGUGGUAUAAGAUGGACCCGCGUUGGAUUAGCUAGUUGGUGGGGUAACGGCCCACCAAGGCGACGAUCCAUAGCCGGCCGGGGAGGGUGAACGGCCACAUUGGGACUGAGACACGGCCCAGACUCCUACGGGAGGCAGCAGUGGGGAAUAUUGCACAAUGGGGGAAACCCUGAUGCAGCGACGCCGCGUGAAGGAAGAAGUAUCUCGGUAUGUAAACUUCUAUCAGCAGGGAAGAUAGUGACGGUACCUGACUAAGAAGCCCCGGCUAACUACGUG
rnacentral:rRNA from 1 species